GGCUCUCUCAAUAGCCAAUAGUGGGGACAGCUGGGCAUGUUUAACGGUAAAAUAAAAAUAAAAAGGACACCAAGGACACAAAUAAAAGAAGACAACACAUCUCUUCCUCACAAGGACACACUCACCAAAAACGGUGCUCCAUCUCCUCUCAUUAUGAACUUUUUCUCUCAAUACAGAGAGGUUGCUUUGGAUUCCACACCGUAACAUCUCAUUCUCAUUCAAAGCUCACUGCUCACUAUUCAUCGUCACCCUCACCCAACCCACUGAAUCUUCAUCGACUAAAACUACCUCAGCUUCUCCUUCAAACACCUACUUUACCGUGCUUCACUCCACCGUCUUCCAUCAACCAAAGAACCACUUCUACACACACCACCACUUCAUAACCAUACCUUCUCAGUCGAUGACAUUCUAUACAACCACCACCCUUACAAACUCCACACUCCCUUCCUCAUUUCCAUUCACAACCGCAUCACCACUCAUAACCUAACAGCUUCGACAACCACCUAAUCCGUCUCCUCCCCCCUAAUGGCCGUCCACACCGUCGAACAACAAUAUCACUAUCGACGAGCUCCCUCCACGAAACCUCAUCCGCCGGAAACCCCCUUCCUUCGCCUCACAACAAACCGUUGGCUGUCCGACAAAAUACACAACCAAACAACAAGAAACCUUAUUCACAGUCAUGACGGAAUCGCCGAGACCGUUGCGUCUUACCGGAAUGGAACUCCGACACGGCGACAAUCGGCGACAGUAGAACCGCUUUUGUGGUGAAGUUGUGGAUCGAUGUACGGUGUGAGCUUGGCGGCACGAGGAUCUGAAACGGAAAUGCAUGAUGAAUCGAUUGCGAGAAGGUGAAGAAAAUGAGACUGAAAGAGUGAAGGAUUGAAGAUUUCGAAGUUUUUUUUUGAAGAAACUGCAGAAUCUCAGUACGGUAAAUUUUUAUAGCAUUCUGAGUUGGUUAGAAUUUAGGUUGAAAUUCACAAUGAACUUCCUCUCAAAUUUGAUAGUUAGUUAGGAAUUAUCAUUCAAAUGAAAUUGGAAUUCAUAUCAAAUAUCUGAAAUUUACUGUAAAUCAUUAAGUUGCAUUUAGUUAGUUCUGUUUGUAUUUGUUAGUAAUUAUGUUAGACUUUUUUUAACUGAUGUUGAUUCUGUUAAUUUCUUCCUAAUUCAAAAUGAAUUAUCUAUUUGUCAGUAACCUCAAUUAGAUGUUAGAGUUGUUAGUUGGGUAUGAUUCCAUCGAAAUAUGCUUGAAGUUUUUUUU